rnacentral:rRNA from 1 species
AUUGAACGCUGGCGGCAGGCUUAACACAUGCAAGUCGAACGCCCCGCAAGGGGAGUGGCAGACGGGUGAGUAACGCGUGGGAAUCUACCCAGAACUUCGGAACAACUGAGGGAAACUUCAGCUAAUACCGGAUACGCCCUACGGGGGAAAGAUUUACCGGUUUUGGAUGAGCCCGCGUUGGAUUAGCUAGUUGGUGAGGUAAUGGCUCACCAAGGCGACGAUCCAUAGCUGGUCUGAGAGGAUGAUCAGCCACACUGGGACUGAGACACGGCCCAGACUCCUACGGGAGGCAGCAGUGGGGAAUAUUGGACAAUGGGCGAAAGCCUGAUCCAGCCAUGCCGCGUGAGUGAUGAAGGCCUUAGGGUUGUAAAGCUCUUUCAGUGGGGAAGAUAAUGACGGUACCCACAGAAGAAGCCCCGGCUAACUUCGUGCCAGCCGCCGCGGUAA